ACGAGCGCACCCUUAUCCCUAGUUGCCAGCACAUCAUGGUGGGAACUCUAGGGAGACUGCCGGUGACAAACCGGAGGAAGGUGGGGAUGACGUCAGGUCAUCAUGGCCCUUACGGCCAGGGCUACACACGUGCUACAAUGGCGCGCACAGAGGGCUGCAAACCCGCGAGGGGGAGCUAAUCUCACAAAACGCGUCGUAGUCCGGAUCGCAGUCUGCAACUCGACUGCGUGAAGUCGGAAUCGCUAGUAAUCGCGAAUCAGAAUGUCGCGGUGAAUACGUUCCCGGGCCUUGUACACACCGCCCGUCACACCAUGGGAGUGGAUUGCACCAGAAGUGGUUAGUCUAACCUUCGGGAGGACGAUCACCACGGUGUGGUUCAUGACUGGGGUGAAGUCGUAACAAGGUAGCCGUAGGGGAACCUGCGGCUGGAUCACCUCCUU
rnacentral:rRNA from 1 species